ACGAUAACGCAUUAGAACGAGUGCUUUGUAGCUGCUCGGUCACAUUUGAGAAUUCGACAGCACUGUGAUAUAAGAUAUAUUUCCCCCAGUGACAGAAAACAAACACAGCACUCUGCGAGAAGUGCUCCAGAAACACCAGCGACGGCGAGAGAGGUGCUUGUUCAUGACCACGUCUUCCUUCUCCCUCUCCUUCUUCACCCGCUGGUAGUGAUCUUCCUCCUUCAGGUACCAAACCGGAGGCCAGCGAUGCUUCUCAAAGUACUCUUGGUUUUCUGCUCACAUGACAGACAGAGAGCCAUCAAGGGCAAGAAAGGGCAAUGAGGCGGGGAAGGCACAGUCUAUUUGCCAGAGCAAUUAAUUCCAUUGGGUCCAAAUCUGCCAUGGGUGACAGCUGAUUGGUGUAGAGAUACUCCAACACUGCCUGCAUACACGCCCUGCUGGUGUUAGGAAAAGAGACCUGGCAACACAGGUGCACACGCGCACACACACACACACACACACACACACACACACACACACACGGAGACACACCGAGUAGACACUUUAUAAGGUACACUUAGCUUAUACUCUGUAAAAUGUAGUGUCUCCAUAAAAAUCUCCCCAAAUAUGGUUUGGAUGGCAUUCCUCUCUCCACUGUCAAUCACAGCAGCACUAGCCGAUAACCAAUGAGCAUCAUGCAUGAGGAAGAGGGUAGAUAGUUCUUUACUCAGAGUGUGUUAUGUGGCUGGAGCAGCAGUUUGAAAAGAUGGAGUUGGCUACCUUCACGUAUCUUUAAGGAAGCACGUGUUAACCAUCACAGACCACAGUUGGUAGCUUUUGUAUAAUAGAGAGCUAGCUGGGAAUUGGCAAAGACCGAAUUAUGGAUAAAAAUGGGUAGAAAAAAGUCUAGGAAACUAAAAAUAUUAACUAUUAUUAUUAUUAUUAUUACUCAAAUACAUUAACUUAAACUACUCAAACAAUUAUUUACCCCAUUACUUUGGGGUAAUUGUCAACAUUAUUUCAUUGCAUAUUCACCUAUUCUUGCACUGACGUAGAUAUUUAUUUCAUUUUUAGAUGGAGUGCUCCUUUUUUUUUUUUUUUUUUUUAAGGGAGAUCCAGGAAUCACGGUCAUAAACCAUAGCAGGGAUCAAAGUACAGGCAUAUAGGUGUCGCUAUAAUCACCGGUGCUCUGUUCACAUACGCCUACAUGACCACCAUUACAGAACCACCUCUGAUCAAAUACUCUUUACAUGGUGGAUCAUUCGGCACAGCAAUGAGACCGAGAUUGACACCAAUAGGGUUUUUAAACACCUCAAAGUCACUAAUGGGUUGAGAAUAAUCCAAUGUAUAAAACCAAAAAUAUCCAGCCGACAGCAGAAGACGAUUAACACACACUAUGCAGGGACAAAGAUGAGCUAUGCUCUCGAAUUGUACACCUACACAAGGAGGAAUAACAACGUAGCUCCAAACCAAUCAGCAUUCAGGAGAUGCUCCCUCUCGGUUCACUUCUCCUCGCAGGUACAUGCACGAGGCAUCGAGAGGAAAGUGAUCCUAAAAGGAAACUAAAUAUAUGGCAACUCCACUAUGUCAACAGCCUGAAAUACUGAUCCUGUAAAGCGGGGGAGAAGAGAUACGGCACCACAGAAUGGUCAUGUAAUUCCGUUUAGAAGGACGACUGGCCCAAGGACAGAGAGAGCGGCAUGGUGUGGCCAGGGUCGCUGUGUGCAUGUGUGUGCUUUGGUGUGAAUUUGCUGACCGAUGCACCAUAUCAAGGAGGAAGCGUUCUAUAAUUUGCUCUCAGCGAACAGACAUAGCAUUCAAGCAGCGUGACUGCUGUUGUCCUGUUUUCUUACGAGCCUACUUUGAGAACUGUCAGAAGCAAGAAAGACUAAAAGCCUUUCAAACCGUAAAGCACCAUCUGCCACACACUUGCAAAGAACACAAAAACUUUGCUGGGAAAUAUCAGUAUAACACUUGUGCCCUAAAGGAUAAGUACUUUUUACUGUUGUUAAGAGGCAUUUCAAGUAAUUUCUACCAUUUGAAACUGAUAUGAGGAUUUAUAUUCCAUAUUCAUAUGCUCAGACCUUCAUAGAUGGGAGCGCAAUGUCAUAUUUGUUUAUAGGAUGCUUUUUGAAUGUUUGCCAAAGAACUUAUUUGAACUAACAAAUCACACAGUGCUCAGAAUUCAGCUUCAUGUCAUUUGAAAUAGAAGUGGGGUCAAUUAGAGGGUACAGCAGUGAGCAUACUAAUAUGAUUUACCUCACAGGUAAUGCAGAUUCAAUAUGAGGUGCUAGGUUUCAUACAAACUCAUACCAGUAUGAACAUGUACUUUACUCGCAUUCGUUUGAAAAUGCAAAAAAAACAAAAACAAAAAACAAAACAAAACAAACAAAAAAAAAGACAUGAGAACACCGGAGGUGAUGGAAAAAAAAAAACCCAGGAAGUCAUACGGACUUAAAUCAAAGCUCUACAAAUGGUUGUGAUGGAUGCAUGAGCCAUGUUAUAUUCAUAUCUCUUUUCGGGAAAGGUUUCAGAUUUCUGUCUGAUAUUUGUUUAAAACCUGAAAAGGAUCUGAGCGCAGGACGCUGCAACAAUUUUACUGAAGCUCUUAUGUUUAUUUACAGAAGGGAUCAAUAGUUGCGGCUGUGUCUUCAGAGCAAAUCUUAUUUAACUUCCGAUUUUGUCUGGUGUCUUCUAGUAACACUGCGUAUACAGUUACAUAUCGUUAAAAUUAGCUUGCCUUACCUGCCGUAGGCAAAGCGCCGGUCUUUGUGGUGGUCUCCGAAGGUGUCCCACAGCCUGAGGGACACACUGACAUCAUCCACCACGUCUCUGGAGCGCUCCAAUACCUGCGUGCAAACAUAUUUAUCAUAAUCAUCACAGCCUGAUUUUGCCCAGACUCGGUACUGAUCAAUAGCCCAGACUGUAGGGACAUGAGUGGCCAGCAGCUGGUACUGGGUCAAAGUGGUGUUACAGGCUCGGGCACAAAUGAGGCGAGUCUUCCCUACAGCGUUGUCUCCCACCACAACACACUUUAUUGUUUCUACGUUGGGUCUUUCGUAGUCCAUUCUGCACGCCAAUGUCCUGUACAUGGAAAGGAUUUGAUAUUCAGCCACGGAAGGUUGUGUUAAGGCACAGGGAACAAAUAAAGCAUCUAAAGCAUCUGA